AACAAAUGAUACAAUUGCAUAAUUUUCAUUUAACCACGUGUCACGUGAAAACAAAAAGAAACAAAAAUGACGUACGUGACAAUCAUCAAACAGUCAUAUAGACGAUUACAUGGAACAAAAGUAUUUUCAUAGAGGAUAAUGUCUAAAGCGCUCCCAUGAUGGACUCUAAAAAUGGCUUAUUCUAUAUUUAUUUGGCGCUAUUAUGAAGAAAUAUUAUUACAACUACUACAACUUGAUUAUUUUGGGGAUUGAUUAACUAAGAAGUAGUGAAGAUAACUCCCAAUUAUGUCAGAAGGGCUUGCUUACAUAACUAUCUUAUCGAUAAGCUACGCAUGGACCGCAUAUCGCCUAUUAUCUACAAAAAAAUG